CCUACGGGAGGCAGCAGUGAGGAAUAUUGGUCAAUGGACGAGAGUCUGAACCAGCCAAGUAGCGUGAAGGAUGACUGCCCUAUGGGUUGUAAACUUCUUUUAUAAAGGAAUAAAACGAGGCACGUGUGCCUUUUUGCAUGUACUUUAUGAAUAAGGAUCGGCUAACUCCGUGCCAGCAGCCGCGGUAAUACGGAGGAGCCGAGCGUUAUCCGGAUUUAUUGGGUUUAAAGGGAGCGUAGAUGGGUUGUUAAGUCAGUUGUGAAAUUUUGCGGCUCAACCGUAAAAUUGCAAUUGAUACUGGCAGUCUUGAGUACAGUUGAGGUAGGCGGAAUUCGUGGUGUAGCGGUGAAAUGCUUAGAUAUCACGAAGAACCCCGAUUGCGAAGGCAGCUUACUAAACUGUGACUGACAUUGAUGCUCGAAAGUGUGGGUAUCAAACAGGAUUAGAUACCCGGGUAGUC
rnacentral:rRNA from 1 species